rnacentral:pre_miRNA from 1 species
GAAAGAAAAAGGCGUUUACAAUGCUAGAUGGUUGUAUAUUUUCUUAUAUACAACCAUCCAGCAUUCUGAACGCCUUUUUCUUUCA